rnacentral:lncRNA from 1 species
CUAGAGCCUGAACCAGCUGCUUUGAAGAGAUCUUGGGACUGAAGGACUGAGCUGAGGCAUUUCUAAGGCAGCUGAUGAGAACAGAGGAAAGAGCAGAUAAUGGCACCAAAUCCUGCCCUGGAGCUGAGCAGGAUUCAAGGAGUGGCCCUGUGUGGAGAAGCAGAUGGAGCUCUGCAAACUAUCAGCAUGCUGGAUUUUCUGGUGCAUUUCUGGAGCUGAGGGACAACUGUCUGGGAGUUUCCAGGUCAGGUAACCUUGCUCACUCUUGUGGAAAGCCUGAGGAGCUCCAGGAGGGAUUAAAAGAAGAGAUCUUCCUCUCCUGUUCAGCCAAAGGCAUCAGUGGCAGAGCCGAGCCCGGAUUUGGGAGCUGGCAGUGCUGCAC